CCUACGGGAGGCAGCAGUAGGGAAUCUUUCACAAUGGGCGAAAGCCUGAUGGAGCAACGCCGCGUGCAGGAUGAAGGCCUUCGGGUUGUAAACUUCUUUUAAAGCGAGAAUUAUGAUUGUCACUUAUGAAUAAGUAUCUGCUACCUACGUGCAAGCAGCCGCUGUCAUACGUAGGAUCCGAGCAUUAUCCGGAGUGACUGGGUGUAAAGAGUUGCGUAGGUGGCAUAAUAAGUAGCUAGUGAAAUCUGGUGGCUCAACCAUUCAGACUAUUGGCUAAACUGUUAAGCUCGAGAACGUUAGGGGUAACUGGAAUUUCUAGUGUAGGAGUGAAAUCCGUAGAUAUUAGAAGGAACACCGAUAGCGUAGGCAGGUUACUGGGACGGUUCUGACACUAAGGCACGAAAGCGUAGGGAGCAAACGGGAUUAGAUACCCUUGUAGUC
rnacentral:rRNA from 1 species